rnacentral:rRNA from 1 species
GACAGAGGGUGCAAACGUUGUUCGGAAUCACUGGGCGUAAAGCGCGUGUAGGCUGUUUGGCAAGUCGGAUGUGAAAUCCCACGGCUCAACCAUGGAAGUGCAUUCGAAACUGCCAAACUAGAGUUCUGGAGAGGAAGGCGGAAUACUCGGUGUAGAGGUGAAAUUCGUAGAUAUCGAGUGGAACACCGGUGGCGAAGGCGGCCUUCUGGACAGUGACUGACGCUGAAAUGCGAAAGCGUGGGGAGCAAACAGG